rnacentral:rRNA from 1 species
GAAUUUUGGACAAUGGGCGAAAGCCUGAGCCCGCAACGCCGCGUGCGAGAUGAAGGCCUUCGGGUUGUAAAAUGCUUUUGUACGGAAAGAAAAGCUUUGGGUUAAUCCACGGGUGUCAUGACGGUAGCGUCAAAAUAAGCACCGGACACCCUCGUGCCACCAGCCGCGGUAAUACGAAGGGUGCAAGCGUUAAUCGAAAUUACUGGGCGUAAAGCGUGCGCAGGCGGUUUUGUAAGUCAGAGGUGAAAUCCCCGGGCUCAACCUGGGAACUGCCUUUGAGACUGCAAGGCUAGAGUACGGCAGAGGGGGGUGGAAUUCCGCGUGUAGCAGUGAAAUGCGUAGAUAUGCGGAGGAACACCGAUGGCGAAGGCAACCCCCUGGGCCUGUACUGACGCUCAUGCACGAAAGCGUGGGGAGCAAACA